CUGAUGACUCCGGGGCGACCCUGCCUUCGGGCGGGGGCUCCGGGUGGACACUUCAAACUCUUGCGUAACUUUGCAGUCUGAGUAAACUUAAUUAAUAAAUUAAAACUUUUAACAACGGAUCUCUUGGUUCUGGCAUCGAUGAAGAACGCAGCGAAAUGCGAUAAGUAAUGUGAAUUGCAGAAUUCAGUGAAUCAUCGAAUCUUUGAACGCACAUUGCGCCCCCUGGUAUUCCGGGGGGCAUGCCUGUUCGAGCGUCAUUUCACCACUCAAGCCUCGCUUGGUAUUGGGCAACGCGGUCCGCCGCGUGCCUCAAAUCGACCGGCUGGGUCUUCUGUCCCCUAAGCGUUGUGGAAACUAUUCGCUAAAGGGUGUUCGGGAGGCUACGCCGUAAAACAACCCCAUUUCUAAGGUUGACCUCGGAUCAGGUAGGGAUACCCGCUGAACUUAAGCA
rnacentral:rRNA from 1 species